UUGAUAAAGUCAAUACUUUAAUCUCUUUUUAUUUACAUGGAUAAGAUGUAAAAAACGAUAGCAAAAACAAGUUAAAUUAGAAGGAACUAUAUACACAAGCAACAGGACACAACUGGCAUACUUUUGACUAGCUCUAUACAUUUACCUUGAGUGGGAAACUCUGCUUCAGCUCUCCCAAAUUUUGGAGAGUCAAAUGGUAAUCCAAAUAAUCUCUAUAAUGAUUUCCCUUCCUCACUAGACUCCACAUUCAUUCUCAAAACAGAAGAUAUAUUUCUGGAGAAGAUGAUAUUUCCAUCGUUGUCUGUUGUGUGAUACGAUGCUAGACCAUUACCCAUCACAAUUCUGCACCCCGCUGAUACAUCACAUGAUAAUUUUACACCAAAAUAUCUCACAUGAUCCUUAACACUGUUGCCUUUCACCGACCUGCUGCAAGAAGGAUCCUCCCCAGAAUUAUCGCAGACCUUUUCAACUGUAUAAACUAAACUUCCAAAGCCAAGAUCAUAAAGCCAGACCUCUCUAGGGAAAUGGCGAUAAGUUUUGUGAGGGAAGUACUGAUAGUAAGGGGGCAAAUGAGGCACAAUAUCAUGACGAUUUGUAACACGAAUUGUAUUGGGGACCCGUUCUCUGUAGUAGGACACAAAUGCAGCAUUACCAAUUCGUGGUUGUCCAAAUGUCAUAACCGAAACAUUCUGGCAUCCAAGAUGCACGGUGAGAUCCAGGCCACAGAAAGCAGCCAUAGCCCCUCCCAUUGAGUGUCCAGUCACCAUAAUUGGAAUAUCUCCAUAGAACUCUUUCGCACUUUUAACAGCAGUUAGCACUCCUGGACGCAAUGA
rnacentral:misc_RNA from 1 species